UGCCGUUUCGGUUUAACCUAGUGUGGGAUUGAGUCUGUGAGGGAGCGAUUGAGUGUGUGAGGUACUGAGGUGAGGCGGAGGCAAGAAAAGGAACUCCCUCAGGAGCGAGGGACAAAGGGUGUAUGAGGCACCUAGGCCGCGGGACCUGAGCGACAGGAAGCCACCCCGAGUCGGGCUACCCGGUAGGCGAAAGGCCCGUGCGGUCUUCAUUGGGCUCCCGAGCCGGAGUCGGCCCCGCAGCCCUGGGCCGUCGGCUUCCUACUUCCUCGACCUCGCUGGCCACCGUGCCUGAGGAUUGGCGCCGCGUAGGGGAGGAGGGCGAACAGACUUGAGCGGCUGCUCGUUGUCUCGCAACCCCACUGCUGAGGAACUCUCGUUUCUUCCCUGGCUCCUUCACCCCUACCUCAUGUAGGAGGGUGCCGAGGAGUCGGGAGGGAGGAGGGGCCUGCGCCACGGUCCCUUCCCUCCCCACCCCCUACUAGGGGUGCUGUGGUAGGCGUGGGGUUGGGAUUGGGGGGAGGGUGGGGGUCACUUUUUGGAGUGCUGGGGAACUUUUCCCCCUGUUGAAGCCAGGGGAAAGGGGAUGCCCAAUCCAGAGAGACAUGGGGGCAAGAAGGACGGGAGCGGAGGAGCUUCUGGAACUUUGCAGCCGUCAUCGGGAGGUGGCAGCUCCAACAGCAGAGAGCGUCACCGCUUGGCGGCGAAGCACAAGCGGCACAAGUCCAAGCACUCCAAAGACAUGGGUUUGGUGACCCCCGAAGCAGCACCUUUGGGGACAGUUAUCAAACCUUUGGUGGAGUAUGAUGACAUCAGCUCUGAUUCAGAUACCUUCUCUGACGACAUGGCCUUCAAAUUAGAUAGGAGGGAGAAUGAUGAACGUCGUGGAACUGAUCGGAGUGACCGCUUGCACAGACAUCGUCACCACCAGCACAGACGUUCCCGGGACUUACUAAAAAGUAAACAGACAGAAAAAGAAAAAAAACAGGAAGUUUCCAGUAAGUCGGGAUCAAUGAAGGACCGGAUAUCAGGAAGUUCAAAGCGUUCAAAUGAGGAGAAUGAUGACUAUGGGAAGGCACAGAUCUCAAAAAGCAGCAGCAACAAGGAAUCCAGGUCAUCCAAACUCCACAAGGAGAAGACUCGGAAAGAACGUGAAUUGAAGUCUGGGCACAAAGACCGGAGUAAAAGUCAUCGGAAAAGGGAAACACCCAAAAGUUACAAGACAGUGGACAGCCCCAAACGGAGAUCCAGGAGUCCCCACAGGAAAUGGUCUGACAGCCCCAAGCAAGAUGAUAGCCCCUCAGGAGCUUCUUAUGGCCAAGAUUAUGACCUUAGUCCCCCAAGAUCUCACACCUCCAGCAAUUAUGACUCCUACAAGAAGAGUCCUGGAAGCACCUCAAGAAGGCAGUCUAUUAGUCCACCUUACAAGGAGCCUUCCGCCUACCAGUCCAGCACCCGGUCACCCAGUCCCUACAGUAGACGACAGAGAUCUGUGAGUCCCUAUAGCCGGAGACGUUCCUCAAGCUAUGAAAGGAGUGGCUCUUACAGUGGGAGAUCACCCAGUCCCUACGGUCGAAGGCGAUCCAGCAGCCCUUUCACCAGCAAACGGUCUCUGAGUCGGAGUCCGCUCUCCAGGAAGUCCAUGAAGUCUAGAAGUAGAAGUCCUGCAUAUUCAAGACAUUCAUCUUCGCAUAGUAAAAAGAAGAGAUCCGGGUCACGUAGUCGACAUUCCAGUAUCUCACCUGUCCGACUUCCAUUGAACUCCAGCUUGGGAGCUGAACUCAGUAGGAAAAAGAAGGAAAGAGCAGCUGCUGCAGCUGCAGCAAAAAUGGAUGGAAAGGAAUCCAAGGGUUCACCUAUUAUUUUGACUAGAAAAGAGAACAGUUCAGUAGAAGCUAAGGAUUCAGGUUUGGAGUCUAAAAAGUUACCCAGAGUUUUAAAAUUGGAAAAAUCUGCCCCAGAUACUGAACUAGUGAAUGUAACACAUCUAAACAUAGAAGCCAAAAAUUCUUUAGAUACAGGGAAAGUAAAGGUGGAUGAGAACUCUGAAAAGCAUCCUGUUCUUAAAGAUUUGAAAGUACAGGGAUCAAGAGACACUAAACCCAUGGCAUUGAAGGAGGAGAUUGUUACUCCAAAAGAUACAGAGACAACAGAAAAGGAGACCCUUCCACCUCUCCCCACAGUUACUUCUCCUCCACCUCCUUUACCGACUACUACCCCUCCACCUCAAACCCCCCCCUUGCCACCUUUGCCUCCACUACCAGCUAUUCCACAGCAACCACCUCUGCCUCCUCCCCAGCCAGCAUUUAGUCAGGUUCCUGCUUCUAGUCCUUCAACUUUGCCCCCUUCUACCCACUUAAGGACGUCUACUCUGUCCUCUCAGGCAAAUUCUCAGCCCUCUGUACAGGUUUCUAUGAAGACUCAAGUGUCUGUAACAGCUGCUAUUCCACACCUAAAAACGUCAACGUUGCCUCCUCUGCCCCUUCCACCCUUAUUACUUGGAGAAGAUGACAUGGAUAGUCCAAAAGAAACUCUGCCUUCAAAACCCGUAAAGAAAGAGAAGGAGCAAAGGCCACGUCACUUACUCACGGACCUCCCUCUCCCUCCAGAACUCCCUGGUGGGGAUCCAUCUCCACCUGACUCUCCAGAACCAAAGGCAAUCACACCACCUCAGCAACCAUAUAAAAAGAGACCAAAAAUCUGUUGUCCUCGUUAUGGAGAAAGAAGACAGACAGAAAGUGAUUGGGGGAAACGCUGUGUGGACAAGUUUGACAUUAUUGGGAUUAUUGGAGAGGGAACCUAUGGCCAAGUAUAUAAAGCCAAGGACAAAGACACAGGAGAGCUAGUGGCCCUGAAGAAGGUGAGACUAGACAAUGAGAAAGAAGGCUUCCCAAUCACAGCCAUUCGUGAGAUCAAAAUCCUUCGGCAGCUAAUCCACCGAAGUGUUGUUAACAUGAAGGAAAUUGUCACAGAUAAACAAGAUGCACUGGAUUUCAAGAAGGACAAAGGUGCCUUUUAUCUUGUAUUUGAGUAUAUGGACCAUGACUUAAUGGGACUGCUAGAAUCUGGUUUGGUGCACUUUUCUGAGGAUCAUAUCAAGUCAUUCAUGAAACAACUAAUGGAAGGAUUGGAUUACUGUCACAAAAAGAAUUUCCUGCAUCGGGAUAUUAAAUGUUCUAACAUUUUGCUGAACAACAGUGGGCAAAUCAAGCUAGCAGAUUUUGGACUUGCUCGGCUCUAUAACUCUGAAGAGAGUCGCCCUUAUACAAACAAAGUCAUUACUCUGUGGUACCGACCUCCAGAACUUCUGCUGGGAGAGGAGCGUUACACACCAGCCAUAGAUGUUUGGAGCUGUGGAUGCAUCCUUGGGGAACUGUUCACAAAGAAGCCUAUUUUUCAAGCUAAUCUGGAGCUGGCGCAGCUAGAACUGAUCAGUCGACUCUGUGGUAGCCCUUGUCCAGCUGUGUGGCCUGAUGUUAUCAAGCUGCCUUACUUCAAUACCAUGAAACCGAAGAAGCAAUAUAGAAGGCGUCUACGAGAAGAAUUCUCUUUCAUUCCUUCAGCAGCACUUGAUUUACUGGACCACAUGCUGACACUAGAUCCUAGCAGACGUUGCACAGCUGAGCAGACCCUACAGAGUGACUUCCUUAAAGAUGUCGACCCCAGCAAAAUGGAUCCUCCAGACCUCCCCCACUGGCAGGAUUGUCAUGAAUUAUGGAGUAAGAAACGGCGACGGCAGCGACAAAGUGGUGUUGUGGUAGAAGAGCCACCUCCAUCCAAAGCCUCUCGAAAAGAAACUACCUCAGGGACAGGUGCUGAGCCUGUGAAGAACAACAGCCCAGCACCACCACAGCCUGCUCCUGUCAAGGUGGAGCCUGUGGCUGGGGAUACAAUAGGCCUUGGUGACAUCACACAACAAUUGAAUCAAAGUGAAUUGGCAGUAUUAUUAAAUCUGCUGCAGAGCCAAACUGACCUGAGCAUCCCUCAAAUGGUACAGCUGCUUAACAUCCACUCCAACCCUGAGAUACAGCAGCAGCUGGAGGCCCUGAACCAAUCUAUCAGUGCCCUAACAGAAGCCACUUCCCAGCAGCAGGACUCAGAGCCCAUGGCCCCAGAGGAAUCUGUGAAGGAGGCACCCCCAGCUUCAGUGGUCCAGCCUUCAGCAGAACAGAAGACCCCUGAAGCUUCAAGCACACCAGCUGACAUGCAGAAUAUGUUGGCAGUUAUCUUGAGUCAGCUGAUGAAAACCCAGGAGCCAGCAGGCAACCUGGAGGAAAACAACAGUGACAAGAACAGUGGGCUACAGGGGCCCCGAAGAACUCCCACAAUGCCACAGGAGGAGGCAGCAGAUGGUGUUAAAAGAAGUAACCCUUCCACAGCAUGUCCUCCUCACAUUCUUCCACCAGAGAAGAGGCCCCCUGAGCCCCCUGGACCUCCACCGCCGCCACCUCCACCCCCUCUGGUUGAAGGCGAUCUUUCCAGCGUCCCCCAGGAGUUGAACCCAGCCGUGACAGCCGCCUUGCUGCAACUUUUAUCCCAGCCUGAAGCAGAGCCUCCUGGCCACCUGCCACAUGAGCACCAGGCCUUGAGACCAAUGGAAUACUCUACCCGACCCCAUCCCAACAGGACUUACGGAAACACUGAUGGGCCUGAAACAGGGUUCAGUGCCACUGACACUGAUGAACGCAACUCUGGUCCAGCCUUGACAGAAUCCUUGGCCCAGACCCUGGUGAAGAACAGGACCUUCUCAGGCUCUGUGGCCGUAGCAGCAGGAGGGAUGGCCCCUGAGGAAUUUGGCGAAGUACAUCAGUCACCUGAUAUCCGGAGCCCUGGCAAAUUCAGUGUCUUUCACAGACUCAAGCCAGAUGGAAAGUUCCACGAGGACAAUGACCACGUCUGUCUGUGUUCACCGGUGUGCUCCCAUUGCCCAGCACAGUGCCUGGCAUAAAGCAGCUGUUUGGAAACAAGAAGAGAAGGCCCAGAGCAGAGAAGAGGGAAGGUGGAAUUCCAAGAAGACACUCAUGAGCAACAUGCAGUUGUGUGGACUGGGAUAUGUGCACACAGCUGUGCAUGCAGAUGAGGAAACUGAAUGAGGCUCAGGGAGAUUGAGUCACCUGUUCAAGCUCACAUAGCUGGUAAGUGACAGAGCUAGGAUUUGAAACCAGAUGGGCUUGUCUCCAAAGCCAGCAUGAUUUUUGCCUCACCAAAAGCCUUCAAGCCUACCCCGGGCUCUGGCUCAAAUUUCUGACCUGAGUGAAUGUGCAGAAACAGAAAGAGAAGUGGACAAGGGAAGGAAAGAUGAGGCCCAGCCUUCCUACUGGUAUCGACUCACUUUCUUUUGCCAAAGACCUCUUACCACCACCCCUAAACCUCCCCCACCACCUCUGACCCCUUGUUUAAGGAGCCUGGAAUCUCCCCCACUUUGCAGCUCCAUGCCACCUACUGCUGCCCGGAGGGUGGCACAGUGCCUGGACUUCAGGCAAAAGAUAUAUCACAGAACCAGAGGGAUCUCUGGGGUCACCUCUUUUACCCCUCUGUCCAUAUAGAGACCCACAGGACAGGGCAGACAGGGUCAGGGUAGUGGGCAGCAGAAGGGAAAAUUAGCCAUCUCUUCUUUUAGCUACCCUUUCUCCUCACUUCUGACACAAUUUGUGUUGGGAAGUCCUCACUGAGGACUGACCUUCCAGACAUCAUGUUGUAAUGAAAGCUGGCCAGAAUCAGAUUGUCCAAGACUGUCCAAACCAUAAAAUGAGAUUUUGGCUAAGUACCUUCACCUCUCUGGGCUUCUAAUUCUUCAUCUUUAAAAUGGGAUCGAUAACGAUGAUAAUUAUAAUACCCAUCUCACAGGGCUGUUGGGAUAAUAACACAGUCCAGGAAAGAAGCGUCCUAACUCACCUGGAGCAAGGGAGGUGCUGCGGGGCUAUUUUGUAACAGCCCCUCAGCCCUCCAGCCGAAGCCCCUUUAUCCUGGGUAACACAGGGCUUUGCUCACCUCAGCCGUCUGGUCUGCCUUGCGCGCUAGACUGUGAACUCCUCUUGGCAGGACCUUGUUCAUUUUUUAAUCACCGCUCCUUCUCCCCAUUGUCUAACCCGCACUUGGGCACGUAGGAUUGUAGGCUGGAUCUACACUUGACAAAUAAACAAGUGAGGGUAUCAGUCGGACCCGCAAGUCCCAGGAGGCACAGAGCCUGACUCCCUCCCACCUCCCCUCCCCCGCUUUUGGGCACGACCCCUUUCCCCUGGGCUCCACGAGCUAGCGGCGAGAAAAGGAUGUU